GACGAACGCUGGCGGCGUGCUUAACACAUGCAGGUCGAACGGAAAGGCCCUGCUUUUGUGGGGUGCUCGAGUGGCGAACGGGUGAGUAACACGUGAGUAACCUGCCCUUGACUUUGGGAUAACUUCAGGAAACUGGGGCUAAUACCGGAUAGGAGCUCCUGCUGCAUGGUGGGGGUUGGAAAGUUUCGGCGGUUGGGGAUGGACUCGCGGCUUAUCAGCUUGUUGGUGGGGUAGUGGCUUACCAAGGCUUUGACGGGUAGCCGGCCUGAGAGGGUGACCGGCCACAUUGGGACUGAGAUACGGCCCAGACUCCUACGGGAGGCAGCAGUGGGGAAUAUUGCACAAUGGGCGGAAGCCUGAUGCAGCAACGCCGCGUGCGUGAUGACGGCCUUCGGGUUGUAAACCGCUUUCGCCUGUGACGAAGCGUGAGUGACGGUAAUGGGUAAAGAAGCACCGGCUAACUACGUG
rnacentral:rRNA from 1 species